UACAGAGGUCCCAAGGCGUUGUUCGGAUUCAUUGGGCGUAAAGGGUGCGUAGGUGGCGCUGUAAGUCGGGUGUGAAAUUUCGGAGCUUAACUCCGAAACUGCAUUCGAUACUGCGGUGCUUGAGGACUGGAGAGGAGACUGGAAUUCAUGGUGUAGCAGUGAAAUGCGUAGAGAUCAUGAGGAAGACCAGUGGCGAAGGCGGGUCUCUGGACAGUUCCUGACACUGAGGCACGAAGGCCAGGGGAGCAAACGGG
rnacentral:rRNA from 1 species